AUGAACGCUGGCGGCGUGCCUCAUACAUGCAAGUCGAGCGAACAGACGAGGAGCUUGCUCCUCUGACGUUAGCGGCGGACGGGUGAGUAACACGUGGAUAACCUACCUAUAAGACUGGGAUAACUUCGGGAAACCGGAGCUAAUACCGGAUAAUAUAUUGAACCGCAUGGUUCAAUAGUGAAAGACGGUUUUGCUGUCACUUAUAGAUGGAUCCGCGCCGCAUUAGCUAGUUGGUAAGGUAACGGCUUACCAAGGCAACGAUGUGUAGCCGACCUGAGAGGGUGAUCGGCCACACUGGAACUGAGACACGGUCCAGACUCCUACGGGAGGCAGCAGUAGGGAAUCUUCCGCAAUGGGCGAAAGCCUGACGGAGCAACGCCGCGUGAGUGAUGAAGGUCUUCGGAUCGUAAAACUCUGUUAUUAGGGAAGAACAAAUGUGUAAGUAACUAUGCACGUCUUGACGGUACCUAAUCAGAAAGCCACGGCUAACUACGUG
rnacentral:rRNA from 1 species